rnacentral:rRNA from 1 species
UACGAGGGGGGCAAAUGUUGUUCGGAAUCACUGGGCGUAAAGGGAGCGUAGGCGGGUUUCUAAGUCACUUGUGAAAUCUCCGGGCUUAACUCGGAACGGUCAAGUGAUACUGUCGUGCUAGAGUACAGAAGGGGCAACUGGAAUUCUCGGUGUAGCGGUGAAAUGCGUAGAUAUCGAGAGGAACACCUGCGGCGAAGGCGGGUUGCUGGGCUGAUACUGACGCUGAGGCGCGAAAGCCAGGGGAGCGAACGGG